AGCAGCCGCGGUAAUUCCAGCUCCAAUAGCGUAUAUUAAAGUUGUUGCAGUUAAAAAGCUCGUAGUUGAAUUUCGGGGUCAGUAGGUUGGUCAUGCCUUUGGUAUGUACUGGUCUCACUGAUUCCUCCCUCUUGAAGAACUGUAAUGUCAUUAAUUUGGUGUUGCGGGGAAUCAGGACUGUUACUUUGAAAAAAUUAGAGUGUUUAAAGCAGGCUUACGCUUGAAUACAUUAGCAUGGAAUAAUGAAAUAGGACGUUUGAUCCUAUUUUGUUGGUUUCUAGGAUUGACGUAAUGAUUAAUAGGGAUAGUUGGGGGCAUUAGUAUUCAAUUGUCAGAGGUGAAAUUCUUGGAUUUAUUGAAGACUAACUACUGCGAAAGCAUUUGCCAAGGAUGUUUUCAUUAAUCAAAACGAAAGUUAGGGGAUCGAAGACGAUCAGAUACCGUCGUAGUCUUAACCAUAAACUAUGCCGACUAGGGAUCGGAUGAUGUUAAUUUUUUAAUGACUCAUUCGGCGCCUUAC
rnacentral:rRNA from 1 species